UGGGGAAUUUUGCACAAUGGGGGAAACCCUGAUGCAGCGACGCCGCGUGAUUUAGAAGGCCUUCGGGUUGUAAAAAUCUUUUCUAUGGGAAGAAAAUGACAGUACCAUAGGAAUAAGGACCGGCUAAUUACGUGCCAGCAGCCGCGGUAAUACGUAAGGUCCGAGCGUUGUCCGGAAUCAUUGGGCGUAAAGGGUACGUAGGCGGGUAAGCAAGUUAGAAGUGAAAUCCUAUAGCUCAACUAUAGUAAGCUUUUAAAACUGCUCAUCUUGAGGUAUGGGAGGGAAAGUGGAAUUCCUAGUGUAGCGGUGAAAUGCGCAGAUAUUAGGAGGAGUACCGGUGGAGAAGGCGACUUUCUGGCCAUAACCUGACGCUGAGGUACGAAAGCGUGGGUAGCAAACAGG
rnacentral:rRNA from 1 species